AAUAAAAAUAUCUUUGGUUGGGGCAACCACGAAGUAAAACAAACCUUUGAAACAAAAAAAAAUAAACAAAUUUAAAAAAAAAUGAUCCAGUAAACUGAUUAAAGAAAAAGUUACCGCAGGGAUAACAGCGUUAUUCUCUUUGAGAGCUCUUAUUGACAAGAGAGUUUGCGACCUCGAUGUUGGACCGGGGCAUCAAAGGGGUGUAGCAGCCCCUAAAUGUAGGUCUGUUCGACCUUUAAAGCCCUACGCGAUCUGAGUUCAGACCGACGCAAGUCAGGUCAGUUUCUAUCUA
rnacentral:rRNA from 1 species